rnacentral:rRNA from 1 species
GCAACUCGCCUACAUGAAGUCGGAAUUGCUAGUAAUCGCGGAUCAGCAUGCCGCGGUGAAUACGUUCCCGGGCCUUGUACACACCGCCCGUCACACCAUGAGAGUCGAUAACACCCGAAGCCUGUGAGCUAACCUUUUAGGAGGCAGCAGUCGAAGGUGGGGUUGAUGAUUGGGGUGAAGUCGUAACAAGGUAUC